rnacentral:lncRNA from 1 species
CAGAAACUUGGGAGGGGCAAGGAAGCAACCGUGUGGAAUGAGGGGUGCAAUCUGGUUUCAGUUCUUUGAUUCUUUUGUGAGAGGCCUGAAGGUCAUUUCCUGAGGAAGAAACUCAGAUGAAACAACUGUAAGUAUCAAGCUUUUAAGACCAGGAGGGUCAAUUUCUAUGUUUAUCAAAAAGGACAGUCUAUUGGGCAACUGGGUGAGUUUCAGUGGGAAAUCUCAAAUUUGUGAAAUGCAUGAGGAAACAGCCUUGCAAUUGUGACUGACAAUUUUCUUAGAAUACUUCGAAAGUUUCCUUUAGCUCUCAUUUUCCUCUCCCUGGAUUCAUGUGAAAACAAUGCCCAGUAGAAUUGCAGAAUCACUUGCAAACCG